UGUAUUUAUAAAAUAAGCUUUUUUGACUUUUCCAUUUGGGAUUUAUGGUGAUCAAUUAAUCAAACAUGUUGUUUUUUCUUUCUUUGUCUCUGACAACCCGUAAAAUUUAAAAGGAACAACUCUCAAAUUGGGCUAGUUUGGCCUAAGUUUGUAAGUUUGAUUAGGAUCGUUAUUUUCACAACACCAACAAGUUACAAAGUGCUUAACGAUAUGGAAUAUAAAUAGUGAUGUCCCG